UCAGUCGUCGUCCACCCGCAAGGAAACAUUUAAUUUUAAUUUUAAGUCAAACUCGCUAGCACUCACGUCGAAUUUCGCCGGAUACGGUUGUCGAAGUUAAGUCAUACUUAUUUUUAAUUGAAACUAAUCUAUCGCGAACGCAGAGUGUCGUAAUCGAACUUUAGAUUUUUUCUUCAUCAUUGCGAAUUUUGAAAACGCGCGUAGUUUAGCAAAUCGAAAGCAAUAGUGAGAAGUAGUGGAACAGGUGAACAGCUGAUAUCGAAAACCACCUGAUUUCAAGACAUCACGAGAAGAAUACGCACGAGUUUUUUUUUACGAGAAAUACCGAAACCAGUUUGGCUGUGUUUUUAGUUCUUUAAGUUACAUCGAAAUUUAACGAAUCAGUUUUAAUUGAGCCGAGUUAAUUUAAUUUAAUCUGAAAUUACGAUACAAAAAAACGCGCUGAAGUAUUUGAAAAAGUAGGAUAUUGAAACAAUAAGAGUGCGAGUGCAAUAUCGAAGAAAGGGUGCAAUUUGAAGUCACUUAAAAUUGCAAAAGAUAAAUCCCACCCAUUAUCGAGUAAACCACAAUCACAACAGUGCGAGAAACGGCUGCAAAAGGCGACAAAAAUAGAGCGACCGCGAAAGUGUUGAAGUGUGUAACGCGCGAUCCCCGCAAAAUACGCGCUCCCGUUCGUUUGCGCUUGAACCGGGUGGUGGCCGGCGGAAUCUUCUAAUCAUCAUCGCCCGUUGUUUCUGUAGCUCGAAGCAUACUCCCAAGCUGGUUCAAACUGUUGGUGCUGAAACGUGCCGCUCAAUUUACAAGCCCACCGAUUAUCUGCAGUUUGCGGAGGAAACAAGAACAGCACGAAACGCGAACCACUGCGCGCCGAUCGACUCGGAUGAUACAUAAUUAGAUAAGAAGCCGAUUGCACUUUCGUCCGGCGCCAACACAACUGAGCAUUACGGCGCACAUUACCGCUUCAGUUGAUUUUUACCAUUCGCGCCAAGCUGAUGAUGUGAUUGUGAUAUUUUUGUGACUAGGAUUGAAAAAUCGCCAAAUUAUCAAACCAAAAGAGUGACGUCUUACAUUGGAAAAACGCAGCAUUAGAAACUACUUUAAUUAAGUAAAAAUUAAAAUUAAAUGUUCAAACCUGAUCAUGAAGCGAGCAGCAACGCAAAAAGAAAUGGCAGACUGUGAAGAUCUCUACAAGCAACAACAGCGUCCAAAAACAAACAACGGAAUAUCCAGCAGUGCAUCUGGUUUAUCGAGCAUGAAAGUGAAACAGAACACAAACUCAAGUCACUGCCCGGAAACCCAUAAUGAGGGUGGUGGCAGUGAAAGCGAAAAGGUGACCUUGUACCUGAGUGGCCAGAAGGCAAGUGAAUAUCAAAGCAAAAUGUCUGAGAACAGUAGGAAGGACUCUUCGGAGUCCGGGGAAGUGAUUGCAAUCCAAAGAAGUGCCAAUGUGAUCAAGUGUGAUAGUGACAAAGAAAUAAAUUCACUCAAAAGGAAGAAAGUGCCCUCAGUAAGUCACCCAGAAAACAAUUGUAAUGUAGCGCAGGAAGAAACGUACGCUUCGGUUUUGAAGCACGAAGACAAAGAAAAUGUCCAGCCGUCUACGAUGACGGUGGGCGUAAGCGCGGGAAGCUCAAGUAACAAGCGAAUGAAGAUGGAUCCACUGAACAAUGACAGCAGAAUAGUGGCCAGCAAGCCACCCAUUCCUCCAAAACCAGAUGUCACAAAACCGUCAACGCAUCACACUGGCAGUGAGAAAGGUACAGGAAGGUCUAAGAAACAGGUGGUCAGUGAUGCGCACAAUGCGUUGACGGUUCAGAAGCUGCUUGCUCAGAACGAACAGAUGAGGCUGGAAAUCAACGAACUGCGGUCGAACUUAACUUCGGAACGCAAUGCUGUGCGCGUUUUGAGGGCGCAAAACGAAUCGGACCUGCGGCGCACCAAGACGGAGUGUAAAAAACUCCAGGAAGCGCUAUCGCACCAGAAACGGCACAACAGUGGUACCAACGUGCCAACGUCAGCGGCCAGCCCGGCACCGUCACCGAAACGAUCCAACCGAACUGGAAGUGCUGGUUCCAGUGCCACCGGUACGGAUGAAAAUGUUGGCCCAGUUGCGAUUCACCAGCUUAAUCUGGACAUUCUCAAGCUCAACCAGGAGCUUUCCGCCAUGCGAGAGACAAACAAAUUCUUGGAGGAGAAAAUUCAAAUUUCCUCGGAGGCUGAACGGCGAAAAGCUUCUGAUAUUCGAGUGCAAAGGGACCUGCACGAACUACGAUUGACUCAACUCACCAAGUCUGCCAAAAGCGAAAUCCAACGACUGCUGGAGGAGCUGAAAUCCAAAGACCGAAACAUUGGUCUUCUGAGGAAGGAGAUUUCAGCUCUGCAAAAAAGUGCGGGAGGAGGAGGAUCAAAGAAGGAGAGAAAGGCUGCUAAAAAUUCCGCUCAGCAAUCGCAAGAGAUGCGAAAACUGCGUGAGUCCGAAUCGUCAUGUAGCGGAAAUAUCAGCAAGAGCAAUAGCCACAGUAGCAUCCAGUCUGUCUGCGACGAGCCGGAACAGAAUGAUGCUGACGCUGAUCCGGUAGCAGCCCCGGGCAAGCAGUCAACGACCCUCAACAAUCGCAACAACUCUACUCCUUCUUUGGAAACGACGAACUGCAACAGUAGCAGUAGCCAUCGUAGCCCAGGCUAUAGCCACCCAACGAAACAUUAUAGCACUAGCAAUAACACCACCCUAGGAUUAGAAACGACGUGUGGCGAUGAUGACGAUGCGUCUAAGCCACACGAAUCACGAACAAUGGAAGCUCACAUCGAUUCGCAUGCUUCUGCUAGAUUAGUAAGCCACCUGACUGACGACGAAGUCGCCAGUCAUGCCAGUAGUAGUAAGUGUACCCACAAUAGUGAACCAAGUGUAGUCAGAACGACGACCGUGAUGACAACCGGUAGACAGUUGUCCUCAGUUUCCGAUGCCGAUUCUGCCAUAUCAUCAGCUCCGCCAUCGCUCAGCCCGCAGCCAACCAACUGUCCCAACUCGCCGGAAGUCUGGCGAGCGCACAUCCACCUUCAACAGGCGGCAGCAUCCGAUGGGGACAGUGAGGGGCAGCAUCUGCAGUCGCUGCGGGACGAAAGUCAGCUGAAGGAGAUCAAACUGGAGCUGGAUCGGAUGCAGACCAAGUACGAUCUGCUCAGUGCGGACUACGGCAAAGCCAAAGAGCAGAUCGACGAUCUCGAGCGGGAGUUGAUGGAGGCAUCGCAAGCUGGGCAGGAGAGAGCAAAGUUUGCCGAGCGAAUCAAUUAUUUGGAACAACGAGAGGAGAACCUGCUUCGGGAGAGCCACGAACUGCGUGAGCAGAAUGAACUGCUCGAGUUUCGAAUUAUAGAGCUGGAGGAGAGCCACGAUAAGUGGUCACUCCGCAGCAAUUCCAGUCCAACGGUCGGCAGCAGCAGCAUCAACGGCAGCACAACAAAGGACGUAUGGACCGACACGGACAAAGAGCACGACGAUUUGAUCAUGCACCACUCGGAACGGUCGGAUUCGGGCGUCACAUCGCCGAACAGCCAUCACCACCUGGAUGAUCAGCAAACCAGUGGGGUACCAUCGCCCUGCUGCGACCUAUCGCUCCUGGAUCAGAUCCCGACCGAUGACGUGCGAAAGCGUAUUGCGACCAUGACCAAGCGGGCCUGCUAUGACGAAGAGGACAAGAUGUGCCUUCUGCAAAUUUUGUCACUGCUGAACAACUUGGAAGCCCUGUCGCAAGAUCACGAGAUCGUAAACGAGGAUACGAGUCUGGAAACGCCUGCAAAGUUCAACAACUACCUCUUCCCUGAGAGUCAACCAGCCAAGCUACUGACAGCGACGUCUACGCCGUUCAAGAGUCAACAGGGAAAAAUGGUGGCCACAGUGCAGCCUUUCAGUAGUAAUACCAACAGUCCAGCUCAGACCACCACAGGCGAACCAAAGGGAAUUUCCAUCGCAUCCAUUGCGGAAACUUUUGGUGGCAUGAAAAAGUCAGCCAAGUGGGGCUCAACUAGUCUGCAGGAAAGUGGAGUUUUUGUGGACGAAAUGGUAGUCAGUAGCGUCGGAACGCAAACGGAGGUAGAGGAUUUUCCGUGCCUGGAGAAGACAAAUGCCGAGCUUUGUGCGGAAAUUGAGAAGUUGAACAAAUUCCGAGAGAAGAUCGAGGAGUGUACAAUCAAACGGAACGGAAAAAAUCCCGUAGGAGUAAGUCUGUCACUCCCAGCAGAGUCUUGUGAACAAAGAAGACUGCAAUUCUAUGUUAAUCGGAUGGAACAGCUAGAGAACAAAGUCAGGGUGUAUGAGAGCAGUGGUGAUCAGCAAUUAAGGCACCUGGCGGAUAGAUUGCAGCGAGAGAUUACGUUGGAAAGCUGGGUAAAUCAGCUAAGUGAUAAGUUGAACAAACUGGAAGACGAAAACGAAAGACUGGAAGAGGAAAGAUGUGAACUAGAGGAGAUCGAAAAUGACACAAGAUUAAGGUUGCAACGAAUGGAAGUUGACUACGAGAUGAUGAGUCAGAGGAAUACAGAGCUGGAGAUUUCAAAGAGCUCGUAUCAAAACAAGUUCCAGGAUGCCAGAGACAGCGUAAUCAAUCUUGAAGAAUUGGUACAUAAAUGCGAGGAAAGGAUAUUCGUUCUUGAGGAAACUGAAAAUGAGCUUAAUGAUCGUAUCGAUCUGAUACUAGCGUUUAUUCCGGUACUGUUGAUGUUCAACAGUUGGCAAUUGAAAGAGCAGAUGGCUUCCACUCGGAAACAAUAUGCUAUUAAUUAUAUCCCACCGGAGCAUAUAGAGUACUAUGAGUCAACAAAUGGAGAUUUGCAAAUGAGACUGAAUGAUCUGAUGAAUCGCGAGAAAGAGCUUACACAAAAUAUUGCCGAGCUGAAUCGAGCUUACAAUGAAACCCUGGAGAAUGCAGACAAUCUCUGGGCUCAAAUGGAGAAAGAGUACAAAGACAAAAUCUCGAAGUGUGAAAUGGUGGAAUCGAACCUAAAGUCCAAAAUUUCACAACUAGAGGAGCGACUGAGCAAAGACAGUGAGUAUGCUCACGAGAGGAUAUCUCAUUUAGAAGAAGCAGAAAACAGUCUCAAGCAUCGAGUGACCAAACUCAACAAAGAAAACAAAGAUCUGGUAGCCAAGCACGCUGCCCUUCUGGAAGAAUAUUCCACAUUAAAAGACGAGUACCGAAAGCUCCAGAACUACCUCAAAGGGACUGUAGCGGAAAACAUCGAAAAAGAAAAGCGGAAGAUUGUUGCGCUGGAAGAAGAACUCAGCCUCUCUACCACACUUCUCAAAGAAGCAGAAGAAAAUCACAAAUCCGAGGUUGGGCAAAUGCGUGGUAAGCUGCUGAGCGCCACCAAGGAAUUAAAUCACAUUGAAGUGACAAAUAGUGAACUUCGUGAGGAAGUUGAGACACUGGAAUGUCGUAUCCGGGAGCUUUUAACCCUCAGAAAUUGCGACGAUGAGCGAAUCAAGCACCUCACUGAGGAACUGCAAUCAAAACAAGCACAAAUAAGUCAACUGCAGCACAAUUCGUUGCACAGCCAUCAUAGAGGUGGUUUUGGAAGAAGCCUCGCCCAAGAGCUGGAGAGACCAGUCAAAGGAUCAUACUCAAAGCUGGGAUAUGAAAUUCAUCCUCUGAACCGUAAAUUCCCAGGUGAUAGCGAUAGUAGCAGCGGAAGUGAGGAAAAAGUCAAGUUCCCCAUUGCAAAGCCAGUGCCGGAAGCCAAAGAAGUUAAAAGUCUGGCCGAAACAAUUAUUUCAAAUGCCGAGAGCCGAGGCAUUCGUGCGCCAAAGAAGUCAUUUGUCGAGGAGGCCCGUAGCCGUUUUGCCCGUUGGGUUUGAAGUGUGAAUCUCUUUUCAUUGUACAUUGACAUUUAGAGCUACGCCAGCUGACAGAUUGGAAGGCAUCACACUGAAUGCUUUGCGCUGUUUGGAUGUGUGAAAAACCAACUAACUUCGUAUAUUAGCGGACCUUGAAGUGUCAAAUCAGUAGGAGUGACAAUCAGUACUCCGGGUCUAUGAUCCGUUGAGACUGUGACCAUCUGAAGUGCCUUGCAGUGAAGUUAUUUAAAAGUUUUGUUCUGCUGCAGCAAAAGCCCUCGACAGGAAGACGUAGUAGGCCAGAAAAACCAUGGGCCGAUAUCGCUCCGACACACAGCAUGCGUCGCCUUUGGAGAGGAAAAUGAUUCUAGUCGUUCACUUUGUUCAUAAUAUUUUUGUAUCGCUAGGUUUAGAAGGCAACUGUCUACAGUGCUGUCAUCAUCCAUCAUGGAAGUUUAUAUUUAAAUACCGCACAAAACACGACCAUUGAAACUCGCCCCAUCGAAACAAACGAAACGAAUCGUGUCGCAGUACAAAGACACCGAUGACGAACUUUUUUAAUUUCUUUUUGGAAAUUACUCUCUCCCACUUCUCAGUUUGUUUCGAUUUAUACGCCAAAAUUUGUACACUUGGUUUGCAUCAUUAUUUCCCAGUUACACGAAUAAUUAUGUUAAGCUUGCACUUUACUUCGUUCUUUUUGUUGUUUAGUUUUCGUGCCUUGUACAUAUCCAGAUGUUAAUGAGUGGACUAUUCAUCGAAUAGGUUUUAAUUUGUAGUACAAUUUAUUUUGUAGUGAUUGCUACUUCCUCUAAGGAAAGCUCUGAUUUUAUUUUAUUUCUUUAUUUCGUUCCUUAACGUUAUUUGAACGUGUGACAUUUGUUUUACCAAUUUUCGACUUAAUUUGAAAUUAAUAGACUCUUGAAAUUUGUUAUUUAUUCUCUCUUAAACAAUCACAGGUGUCUAUUUAGACUCUAUGAAUGUUUUACUUACCUGUUGCAUGUGAUUGUAAAAACGCAUGAUCUAAACAUUAGAAGUGAAAUUAUUUGUAAUAUGUCAAUGAAAAAGUAAAUCAAUAAUGUGAGCUUCCACAUUGUUUAAAAUAUACUCAAAGAAUCAGUACAUAAGAUGUUAAAAACAAAUCCCACUGUAAACAGACACAUCAGCAAGCAAUUGUAGAAACAAAAUGAAGUAAUAUAUUGGAACUUUAUUAGUUUGAA